GACAGUUUGGAUGUAGCCAGAAUUCCUAUCAUGGGAGGCAUAUACUGCCUGGGAUCCCCACUCCUAGCAAGGUUGGCAGCUAUGCUAGGCAUGACUAGCACUCUUAUAGAAAAGAAAACUGGAACACAGAGAAGCUGAGAAACCUGCCCAAGGUCACAGAGCCAGGACUUAAAUGGAAUAUUGCAGCUGCUUUGAAAUAAAUCCCAUGUACUGUG